rnacentral:rRNA from 1 species
CCUACGGGAGGCAGCAGCAGGGAAUCUUGGGCAAUGGGCGCAAGCCUGACCCAGCGACGUCGCGUGGGGGACGAAGGCCUUCGGGUUGUAAACCCCUUUUCCGAGGGAAGAUACAGGACGGUACCUCGGGAAUAAGCCCCGGCUAACUACGUGCCAGCAGCCGCGGUAAUACGUAGGGGGCAAGCGUUACCCGGAAUCACUGGGCGUAAAGUGCGCGUAGGCGGUUGGAUAAGUCUCUUGUGAAAGCUCCCGGCUCAACUGGGAGAGGUCAAGGGAUACUAUUCGACUAGAGGACAGCAGAGGUAAGCAGAAUUCCCGGUGUAGCGGUGGAAUGCGUAGAUAUCGGGAGGAACACCAGUGGCGAAGGCGGCUUACUGGGCUGUAACUGACGCUGAGGCGCGAGAGCGUGGGGAGCAAACUGGAUUAGAUACCCAGGUAGUCCACGCCCCAAACGAUGGAUACUAGGUAUGGGGGGUAUUGACCCCCUCCGUGCCGUAGCUAACGCGUUAAGUAUCCCGCCUGGGGACUACGGCCGCAAGGCUAAAACUCAAAGGAAUUGACGG